rnacentral:rRNA from 1 species
UAAGGAAUAUUGGUCAAUGGACGCAAGUCUGAACCAGCCAUGCCGCGUGAAGGAUGAAGGUCCUCUGGAUUGUAAACUUCUUUUAUCAGGGACGAAAACGGGAUUUUUAUCUCAAUUGACGGUACCAGAGGAAUAAGCACCGGCUAACUCCGUGCCAGCAGCCGCGGUAAUACGGAGGGUGCGAGCGUUAUCCGGAUUUACUGGGUUUAAAGGGUGCGUAGGUGGGCUUAUAAGUCAGUGGUGAAAUCUCCGAGCUUAACUUGGAAACUGCCGUUGAUACUAUAGGUCUUGAAUUAUCUGGAGGUAAGCGGAAUAUGUCAUGUAGCGGUGAAAUGCUUAGAUAUGACAUAGAACACCAAUUGCGAAGGCAGCUUACUACAUAUAAAUUGACGCUGAGGCACGAAAGCGUGGGGAUCAAACA